CUUUACAGUGAAAGCAGAAGUGUGGCGGUCCUCAGGGGUGAAGAGAGCAAGCAGAGCGAAGUGGGUGUGUGGGCGUGGGGGAGCCGAGCGGAGGGCUGCCUGCAGCGCAGCGGUAACGACUUCCCCGUCUUCCUGCAGACGGCAGCCGGUUGGCAGCCAGGCGGCCACGGCUUCACAGGUCAGCCCAUUCAUUCCUGCCUCUCGCUCCUCCGCCUCCCCCUCCCCUUCCCGUCCUGCUCCGUCUGUCCCCCAGAGGGCACUGGUCCCUCCCCAGGCGGGCACGGGUCUGGCAACAUCUUGGGGACAGCAAGCCAGGACCAGCCCUCACUCCCUUCGUCAGCUCUUGGGCCCCCGGUGGCAACUCCAACUCUGGAGGAACUCAGGCACCCGUCUGCUUUUGGGAGACAGCGGCACGGAACAGGGAGAGCGCUGGGCUUGGAGUGCAGGUCCUGGGAGCUGCCGUCAAGGGGAGCUUGAGUCCAGGCUUGACCACUGGCCGUCUGUCGAACUCUGAGCAAACUCUCUCGCAUGGUGUUCAGUUUCCUCAGAGUUGAUUGGAAUCUCCUUGGAGGUCAGGUAAGGGAGUUGUGUUUCCCAGAGGGCUCCAAAUAA
rnacentral:lncRNA from 1 species